CACGUAGGAGGCGAGCGUUGUCCGGAAUCAUUGGGCGUAAAGAGCGCGCAGGCGGCUUGGCAAGUCGGGUGUGAAAUCCCGGGGCUCAACCCCGGGACUGCAUUCGAUACUGUCAGGCUAGAGGUAGGUAGGGGAGAUCGGAAUUCCUGGUGUAGCGGUGAAAUGCGCAGAUAUCCGGAGGAACACCGGUGGCGAAGGCGGCUCCUGGACCGACACUGACGCUGAGGCGCGAAAGCUAGGGGAGCAAACGGG
rnacentral:rRNA from 1 species